rnacentral:rRNA from 1 species
GGUCUUUUCUAUGGAAGCUUGCUUCCACUGAGAAGAUAGUGGCGGACGGGUGAGUAACACGUGGGUAACCUGCCCAUAAGAUGGGGAUAACAUCCGGAAACGGGUGCUAAUACCGCAUAGUUUUCUUGAUCGCAUGAUCGAGAAAGGAAAGACGGCCUUUGUGCUGUCGCUUAUGGAUGGACCCGCGGCGUAUUAGUUAGUUGGUGAGGUAACGGCUCACCAAGACGAUGAUACGUAGCCGACCUGAGAGGGUGAUCGGCCACAUUGGGACUGAGACACGGCCCAAACUCCUACGGGAGGCAGCAGUAGGGAAUCUUCCGCAAUGGACGAAAGUCUGACGGAGCAACGCCGCGUGAGUGAAGAAGGUUUUCGGAUCGUAAAUCUCUGUUGUCAGAGAAGAACAAGUCGGAGAGUAACUGCUCCGGCCUUGACGGUAUCUGACCAGAAAGCCACGGCUAACUACGUGCCAGCAGCCGCGGUAAUACGUAGGUGGCAAGCGUUGUCCGGAUUUAUUGGGCGUAAAGCGAGCGCAGGCGGUUCCUUAAGUCUGAUGUGAAAGCCCACGGCUCAACCGUGGAAGGUCAUUGGAAACUGGGGAACUUGAGUGCAGAAGAGGAGAGUGGAAUUCCAUGUGUAGCGGUGAAAUGCGUAGAUAUAUGGAGGAACACCAGUGGCGAAGGCGACUCUCUG